rnacentral:misc_RNA from 1 species
CGGCCUAGCCGCCGCGUGCCUCGAUGUCCGUGAGGAAUGC